UACGAAGGGAGCAAGCGUUACUCGGAAUUACUGGGCGUAAAGCGCAUGUAGGCGGACUUUCAAGUCAGGGGUGAAAUCCCGGGGCUCAACCUCGGAAUUGCCUUUGAAACUGUAAGUCUUGAGUAUGACAGAGGAUAGUGGAAUUCCUAGUGUAGAGGUGAAAUUCGUAGAUAUUAGGAGGAACACCAGUGGCGAAGGCGACUGUCUGGGUCAUUACUGACGCUGAGAUGCGAAAGCGUGGGGAGCAAAC
rnacentral:rRNA from 1 species